GUUGAAAUAUAUAAAUAUAUAAUACAAACCGUUAUGAACACAAUAUUACAGUGAUAACUAAAUGUAUAUGAUUUACCACUUCUUAAUUCUGGACAGUGAACACAUUGUGUAUGAAAACACAAAAAAGUGGAUACCGGUUCAUCGACUGCUUUGAAUACUUUGAAAUGCAACGAAUUUUUGUGUUCAUACAGUACUACUCGGUUACUCUGAAUCUUAGAAAGCUAACUCUAUACAAGAAGCGCGGGGAAGUGCUUAAAGUUUAACAACCACCACUCCGAAUGGAUGUUUUUUCAAAGAUUGAAAAACAAUAAACAACUAGAAAAAGAAUAAUCGAAUGAUGAAUUGCAAAAAAUAUCAAAUCGGAAAAGUUCUUACAAAAAUUGAAAUACACCAUGAAAUUUUCAUAGACACUUCCAGUUUUUGUAAAUAUGGUUUUUAAGAGAGUAUUUUACCGCAUAUGAGAGACCGUUGCAAGUUUUCUACAAAGGUGUAAUGUUGACAUACGUCAAAGGAAAGUGAUGAAAUUGAUGUUGGUCACUACGCAACAUGGCUGUGCAUCACAAAUACAGUACUACCAUGAGUUAUGAGGUAUUCAAUAUCACAUAUUCACAUAUUAUAUUAAAAACUUUUACGGGUAACGGCGUACCUCUGUCAUCAGUACCUACAAAAUACAAAACAUCCAUCAGCAGCAUUUAAUCUCAGCAAAUCUGAUUUAUUCUUUGAUACAGUUUCGGCCUGGGCAGCCAGCAUAUAGUGAAUUAAUGUCCUCUCUCCUCUCAAACCAAACACGAUCUUUGGGUGUUGUUAUUUCAUUAUAAAUGGACCGUUCGACACGAUUCGCAAUACACAAGCUCAGAUGUUGAUCGGAAACCGCGGUGCAGCAGACCGAGAUUAUUGC